GAUGAACGCUAGCGACAGGCCUAACACAUGCAAGUCGAGGUGCAGCAUGAAAUUAGCUUGCUAAUUUUGAUGGCGACCGGCGCACGGGUGAGUAACACGUAUGCAACCUGCCUGUAAACGGGGGAUAACCCGGAGAAAUUCGGACUAAUACCGCAUAAUAACAUUGAUUCGCAUGUUUCAAUGAUUAAAAAUUUAUUGCUUACAGAUGGGCAUGCGUAUGAUUAGCUAGUUGGCGGGGUAACGGCCCACCAAGGCGACGAUCAUUAGGGGUUCUGAGAGGAAGGGCCACCACAUUGGAACUGAGACACGGUCAAAACUCCUACGGGAGGCAGCAGCGAGGAAUAUUGGUCAAUGGACGCAAGUCUGAACCAGCCAUGUCGCGUGAAGGAUGACUGUCCUAUGGAUUGUAAACUUCUUUUAUAUGGGGAUAAAGUGUGAGACUUGUCUCAUUUUGAAUGUACCAUAUGAAUAAGCAUCGGCUAACUCCGUGCCAGCAGCCGCAGUAAUAC
rnacentral:rRNA from 1 species